CGUCGUGCGAAUAGGUGCCACGUGCUCAGCAGUCUGCAAUUUUUCCAGAUUUCCAGGUUUUUUACGCAGUUUCCAAAUGAAUAAAAAAAGUCACCGUCUUGUGGGUACGCUUGGAUCACAACAAAGUAUGCAAAAUUUAAAACUUGACAUAGAGAAUGCAAAGAAGACGUUGUCAUUAGAUAAUAUGGAAUCUCAACUAUCACCAUCUUUGAUUAAUCCUAUCUUAAAAAGUGUAUGUUAAGUCGAUUACUCGAAUAUAUCGAAAUGUUGAAGCCUCCUUUUCUGCGAUGCUGAUUGGAUGCUGGUGCAUUCCGAUAUAUUCGCGGUUAGGUUAGGUUAGGUAGCGUAGCGCUCGAGCGCUUCGUCAUCCAUAACCUAUUUGUUACUCUUUCGUGUUACAUAGUAGUGCGUUAAGAAAGAAUUAAAAAGAAUCUCGAAGAGGAUAGAAGAAGGAGAAAGAGAGAAAGAAGAAAAGUCGAAUAAAGAAGGAAAGGCGAGAAAGUUACAAAAUUUACAUAAUAAAUAGUAGAAAAAGAGGAAAAGAAUAGUGAAGAGAG